GAUGAAGAACGCAGCGAAAUGCGAUAAGUAAUGUGUAUUGCAGAAUUCAGUGAAUCAUCGAAUCUUUGAACGCACAUUGCGCCCCUUGGUAUUCCGAGGGGCAUGCCUGUUCGAGCGUCAUAUUAACCACUCCCGCUUGCGGGGUCUUGGGCUUCGCCUCCGGGCGGGCCUUAAAAUCAGUGGCGGUGCCGUCGGGCUCUACGCGUAGUAAAUUUUCUCGCGAUAGGGUCCCGGUGGAUGCUUGCCAACAACCCCCAACUUCUUAAGGUUGACCUCGGAUCAGGUAGGGAUACCCGCUGAACUUAAGCAUAUCAAUAAGCGGAGGA
rnacentral:misc_RNA from 1 species